rnacentral:rRNA from 1 species
CAGCCGCCGCGGUAAUACAGAGGGUGCGAGCGUUAAUCGGAUUUACUGGGCGUAAAGCGUGCGUAGGCGGCUAAUUGAGUCGGAUGUGAAAUCCCCGAGCUUAACUUGGGAAUUGCAUUCGAUACUGGUUAGCUAGAGUGUGGGAGAGGAUGGUAGAAUUCCAGGUGUAGCGGUGAAAUGCGUAGAGAUCUGGAGGAAUACCGAUGGCAAAGGCAGCCAUCUGGCCUAACACUGACGCUGAGGUACGAAAGCAUGGGGAGCAAACAGGAUUAGAUACCCCGGUAGUCCCUGUCUCUUAUAC